CAUUUUAUUGGCGGCAGAUGCGGUCUGCGAUGGAUUGAAGCACGCUUAACCUUACCAGGUCUUGACAUCCUCUGACAAUCCUAGAGAUAGGACGUCCCCUUCGGGGGCAGAGUGACAGGUGGUGCAUGGUUGUCGUCAGCUCGUGUCGUGAGAUGUUGGGUUAAGUCCCGCAACGAGCGCAACCCUUGAUCUUAGUUGCCAGCAUUCAGUUGGGCACUCUAAGGUGACUGCCGGUGACAAACCGGAGGAAGGUGGGGAUGACGUCAAAUCAUCAUGCCCCUUAUGACCUGGGCUACACACGUGCUACAAUGGGCAGAACAAAGGGCAGCGACACCGCGAGGUUAAGCCCAUCCCACAAAUCUGUUCUCAGUUUCGGAUCGCAGUCUGCAACUCGACUGCGUGAAGCUGGAAUCGCUAGUAAUCGAGGUAUCAGCAUGCCGCGGAUGAAUACGUUCCCGGGGCCUUGUACACACCCGGCCCACUAACACUUCUAUUUUGAUUUGGACGUGUA
rnacentral:rRNA from 1 species